rnacentral:rRNA from 1 species
GACGAACGCUGGCGGCGUGCUUAACACAUGCAAGUCGAACGGAAAGGCCCUGCUUUUGUGGGGUGCUCGAGUGGCGAACGGGUGAGUAACACGUGAGUAACCUGCCCUUGACUUUGGGAUAACGUCAGGAAACUGGGGCUAAUACCGGAUAGGAGCUCCUGCUGCAUGGUGGGGGUUGGAAAGUUUCGGCGGUUGGGGAUGGACUCGCGGCUUAUCAGCUUGUUGGUGGGGUAGUGGCUUACCAAGGCUUUGACGGGUAGCCGGCCUGAGAGGGUGACCGGCCACAGUGGGACUGAGAUACGGCCCAGACUCCUACGGGAGGAAGCAGUGGGGAAUAUUGCACAAUGGGCGGAAGCCUGAUGCAGCAACGCCGCGUGCGGGAUGACGGCCUUCGGGUUGUAACCCGCUUUCGCCUGUGACGAAGCGUGAGUGACGGUAAUGUGUAAAGAAGCACCGGCUAACUACGUG